rnacentral:lncRNA from 1 species
GCUCUGAAUGCCAUAACUAAGAAAGGAUGUUGGCUCUGAACGCCAAACUGAGAAGAGAUGGUGGCUCUGAAUGCCAUAACUGAGAAGAGAUGGUGGCUCUAAAUGCCAUAACUAAGAAAAGAUGUUGUCUCUAAACACCAAACUAAAAAGAGAUGGUGGUUCUGAAUGCCAAAAUUGAGAAGAGUUGGUGGCUCUAAAUGCUAAAACUAAUAAGAGAUGGUGG